AUGCAAAGAGAGAAACCUAAAAG
rnacentral:snRNA from 1 species